rnacentral:lncRNA from 1 species
UAGGAGAUGGUGGACGGACCGGGUACAUAAAAAAUUCUACCGUGAAUGUUGCCUCAUACCGAACGGGAUAUCGAGAAUUGGUAUUUUAGCGCUCAUACCGGAUGGGGUAUGGAGACGGCUCGUUUCACCCUCAUACCGGAUGAAGUAUUGAGAGAUGAUAUUUUUGGUACUCAUACCAAACGGGGUAUGGGGACGGCCUGUUAGUUGACAAUGUUGAAUAAGGAUUCAUCCUUUACGCAUGUGUUAC